ACGUAGGGGGCAAGCGUUAUCCGGAAUUAUUGGGCGUAAAGAGUGCGUAGGUGGUUUUUUAAGCGUGAGGUGAAAGGCAAUAGCUUAACUAUUGUAAGCCUUGCGAACUGGAAGACUUGAGUGCAGGAGAGGAAAGUGGAAUUCCUAGUGUAGCGGUGAAAUGCGUAGAUAUUAGGAGGAACACCAGUGGCGAAGGCGACUUGCUGGCCAGUAACUGACGCUGAGGCGCGAAAGCCAGGGGAGCAAACGG
rnacentral:rRNA from 1 species